GAGUUUGAUCCUGGCUCAGAUUGAACGCUGGCGGCAUGCCUUACACAUGCAAGUCGAACGGCAGCACGGGAGCUUGCUCCUGGUGGCGAGUGGCGAACGGGUGAGUAAUGCAUCGGAACGUAUCCUGGAGUGGGGGAUAACGUAGCGAAAGUUACGCUAAUACCGCAUAUUCUGUGAGCAGGAAAGCGGGGGACCUUCGGGCCUCGCGCUCUUGGAGCGGCCGAUGUCGGAUUAGGCUAGUUGGUGAGGUAAAGGCUCACCAAGGCGACGAUCCGUAGCAGGUCUGAGAGGAUGAUCUGCCACACUGGAACUGAGACACGGUCCAGACUCCUACGGGGGGCAGCAGUGGGGAAUUUUGGACAAUGGGGGCAACCCUGAUCCAGCCAUGCCGCGUGAGUGAAGAAGGCC
rnacentral:rRNA from 1 species